GGUAUCAGCCAUUCCUCCAGCCUGCAGGAGACAUGGGACUCACUGAUUAACCUUUAUUCCUUUUUUUGGAGGCGUCAUGAAGAAAACCAGCAAUACGAGCCUUCUCCUGAAUGAGCCACCAAGGAUGGACAGGAAGGAGAUCAGCAGAAGAAUAUUAGACCUCACCUUGGAGAUCAUCUCCCUGCUGAGCGGAGAGGAGUACACAAUAGUGAAGAAGACAUCGGGGGACUGUGUGACUCCCAUCAUC